rnacentral:rRNA from 1 species
UUGAAAGGGAAAGAUUGAAGUCAGUCGUGCUGGCGCGAAAUCAACCUUCUCGUCGAGAGAUCACAUGGCGUGGCGAGCCUCAAAACCGUCGCGAAGCGUGAACUCUUGGUGAAAUGGAGCACUUUCGUGUCCGCUGGUUAACAUCAAUUUCGAUCGUCAUAAAAAGGCUGGAGGGAUGUGGCUCCUUCGGGAGUGUUAUAACCUUUAGCGGAAUGUGGUGGUCGGGAUUGAGGAUUGCAACGAAUACCUUUAGGGCUGUUCCACCUGGCUUCUCAUUGGCAUCCUGGUGACGACAGCUUGCUGACGUCGUUAGGAUUCGCCUUUGAACAGGUCAGAGCGUGAGCAAAUUCGUUAAGGAUGUUGACGUA